rnacentral:rRNA from 1 species
UCGGGGGACAAAGUGACAGGUGGUGCAUGGUUGUCGUCAGCUCGUGUCGUGAGAUGUUGGGUUAAGUCCCGCAACGAGCGCAACCCUUAAGCUUAGUUGCCAUCAUUAAGUUGGGCACUCUAAGUUGACUGCCGGUGACAAACCGGAGGAAGGUGGGGAUGACGUCAAAUCAUCAUGCCCCUUAUGAUUUGGGCUACACACGUGCUACAAUGGACAAUACAAAGGGCAGCUAAACCGCGAGGUCAAGCAAAUCCCAUAAAGUUGUUCUCAGUUCGGAUUGUAGUCUGCAACUCGACUACAUGAAGCUGGAAUCGCUAGUAAUCGUAGAUCAGCAUGCUACGGUGAAUACGUUCCCGGGUCUUGUACACACCGCCCGUCACACCACGAGAGUUUGUAACACCCGAAGCCGGUGGAGUAACCAUUUAUGGAGCUAGCCGUCGAAGGUGGGACAAAUGAUUGGGGUGAAGUCGUAACAAGGUAGCCGUAUCGGAAGGUGCGGCUGGAUCACCUCCUUU